GACGAACUGUCCUAACGUUGUUCGGAAUCACUGGGCUUAAAGGGCGCGUAGGCGGUCGACCAAGUCAGGGGUGAAAUCCUGCAGCUUAACUGGGGAACUGCGUCCGAUACUGGAUGGCUUGGAUUUGGGAGAGGGAUGCGGAAUUCCAGGUGUAGCGGUGAAAUGCGUAGAUAUCUGGAGGAACACCGGUGGCGAAGGCGGCAUCCUGGACCGGCAUUGACGCUGAGGCGCGAAAGCCAGGGGAGCAAACGGG
rnacentral:rRNA from 1 species